rnacentral:rRNA from 1 species
UAAACGUCUCAGUUCGGAUUGUAGUCUGCAACUCGACUACAUGAAGCUGGAAUCGCUAGUAAUCGCGAAUCAGCAUGUCGCGGUGAAUACGUUCCCGGGUCUUGUACACACCGCCCGUCACACCAUGGGAGUUGGUAACGCCCGAAGCCAGUGACCCAACCUUAAGAGGAGGGAGCUGUCGAAGGUGGGACCGAUAACUGGGGUGAAGUCGUAACAAGGUACC